AGAUUGAACGCUGGCGGCAGGCCUAACACAUGCAAGUCGAGCGGCAGCACGGGUACUUGUACCUGGUGGCGAGCGGCGGACGGGUGAGUAAUGCCUAGGAAUCUGCCUGGUAGUGGGGGAUAACGCUCGGAAACGGACGCUAAUACCGCAUACGUCCUACGGGAGAAAGCAGGGGACCUUCGGGCCUUGCGCUAUCAGAUGAGCCUAGGUCGGAUUAGCUAGUUGGUGAGGUAAUGGCUCACCAAGGCGACGAUCCGUAACUGGUCUGAGAGAUGAUCAGUCACACUGGAACUGAGAC
rnacentral:rRNA from 1 species